rnacentral:rRNA from 1 species
UCCUACGGGAGGCAGCAGUGGGGAAUUUUGGACAAUGGGCGCAAGCCUGAUCCAGCAAUGCCGCGUGCAGGAUGAAGGCCUUCGGGUUGUAAACUGCUUUUGUACGGAACGAAAAAGCUUCUCCUAAUACGAGAGGCCCAUGACGGUACCGUAAGAAUAAGCACCGGCUAACUACGUGCCAGCACCCGCGGUAAUA